UAUGGUGACCUCCCGGGAGCGGG
rnacentral:piRNA from 1 species